CCUAUAAAGGAACAAAAAUAACACAUAUCAAAGGGGACAGGAGCUUCAGUUGCGGAGAACAAAAAAAAGGACCCCCACCUUCGUUUCUGAUCUUCUUCUUAUAGUCCACCACGAAGCUGCCCUGAAAAACAUCUCCAUUCCAGGCUAAAUCCCUCCCUGAAAUCCCACGAAAUCAUCUCCUAAUUCAUUCAAAAUUCAGUGAAAACCAAACUUAACAACCCCCGUUCCAUGCAAGUUAUGAGGUCUAAAUCCCCAUUUUGUUAGGAGUUGUUUCAGUUGGAGAUUCCGGGUAAACUCGACCUCUAGCGCUGCUACGCCUUCUGGUAGAGUCCAUGCCUGUUAGUCAAGCGUCAAAACAGUGUUGUGAAUGAAUUUGUGUUUUAUCGAAAGUUCAGAUUCGAGGUCGCCGGAGGCGUCGAUGUACUGUUCGUUGGUUUUUCGAUUCGAUUUUUACUAAUUUCAUUUGAAGCUAGGUCGAUUUUUGACUGUAAUUGUUGCUUCGUUUCAAUUCGUGUAAUUGUUGCAUUUCAAUUAAUCGGAAAGCUAAUUUUCAGGUGCAUAUCUUCUCCUAUUCUCGUCUUUUCUCAUGAACUUUAUGGUUGAAAUAUAAUAUGAGCCAACCGUAUAAUUUUGAAAGUGUUCGUAGUUAGGUUCGAGCAUUGAGUUUGGUAUUGAUUCACUAAUUUAAGUGUUUUCAGCUGGUUUUAUGUGUAAUGGGCUCUAUGUUUCUCCUUUAUUUUCAAUUAUACUUUUGAAGUAUUAGAAUAUUUUGGAGCUACUAUGAUAGCUAGGGAAUCUGCCAUGAUUAAUUUCUUUUAAAUCAUAAUACUAACUUCCAAUGUCAGAAGGGUUAAUGUUGAAAGGCUAAGUUGAUUUUCUUGUAAAAUGCUUGAACCAUCGUUCGGGAUGCACACCCCUUUGAUUCCAAAGUU
rnacentral:lncRNA from 1 species